rnacentral:ncRNA from 1 species
AAUAUUAAUAGAAAAUUAUGUUAAAUUUAAUUUUUGUUUAAAAAUUAAUUAAAUUUUAUAAAUACUAUAUAAUAUUAAAUUAAAAAAUUAUAUUUAAAGUAAUAUUUAAAUUUUAUUAAAAUUAAUGAAAGUUAGAAUAAGAUAAAAAUAAUAAAAAUAGGAAAAUUUAGUGCCAGCAUCAGCGGUUAGACUAUUUAUUUAAGUUAAUUUAAUACUUUAUAUAGAAAAAUUAUUUCUAAAAAGUAAGUUUAAUUAAUAAUUUAUUAUUUGGUGAAAUAUAAUAAAUUAUUAUUAAAAUUUUUAAAAAUUUUAAUUUUAUGAAAGUUAUAAAAUAAACUAGGAUUAGAUACCCUAUUAUAAUAAAUGUAUUAAUAUAUAGAAGAAAUUAAAUGAUAAAUCAUUAAAUUUAAAAGAUUUGGCAGUAUUUAAAAUUUAGAGGAACCUGUGUAGUAAUUGAUGAUCCACGAUAAGAUAUACUUAAUUUUAAAUUUAUGUAUUGCUGUUUUAAAUAUUUAAUUAAGUUAGACAAUAUAAUUUAUAAUAUUUUUAAUGAAAUAAAAUAAUUCAAGUCAAAAUAUAGUUUAGUUAAGAUUUAAUAUGGGUUACAAUUAAUUUAAUUAUUGGAUUAAAAAAUUUAAUUUUUUUAUGAAAUUGGAUUUAAAAGUAAAUUUAAUUAAUUAAUUAAAUUGAAUAAUAAAUUAAAUAUGUACAAAUUGCCCGUCACUUUCAAUAAAAUGGAAUAAGUCGUAACAAAGUUUAAGUACCGGAAGGUGCCUAUUGAUAAAUAUAAAAAUUAUAAUAUAUAAAUUAAAAGAUUUUAGUUUAUGUUAAAAUAAUUUAUUUACAAUAAAUA